rnacentral:rRNA from 1 species
UAGGGAAUUUUUCACAAUGAGCGAAAGCUUGAUGGAGCAAUGCCGCGUGAACAAUGAAGGUCUUUAAGAUUGUAAAGUUCUUUUAUUUGGGAAGAAUGACUUUAGCAGGUAAUGGCUAGAGUUUGGCUGUACCAUUUUGAAUAAGUGACGACUAACUAUGUGCCAGCAGUCGCGGUAAUACAUAGGUCGCAAGCGUUAUCCGGAUUUAUUGGGCGUAAAGCAAGCGCAGGCGGAUUGAAAAGUCUGGUGUUAAAGGCAGCUGCUUAACAGUUGUAUGCAUUGGAAACUAUUAAUCUAGAGUGUGGUAGGGAGUUUUGGAAUUUCAUGUGGAGCGGUGAAAUGCGUAGAUAUAUGAAGGAACACCAGUGGCGAAGGCGAAAACUUAGGCCAUUACUGACGCUUAGGCUUGAAAGUGUGGGGAGCAAAUAGGAUUAGAUACCCUAGUAGUCCACACCGUAACGAUAGAUACUAGCUGUCGGGGCGAUCCCCUCGGUAGUGAAGUUAACACAUUAAGUAUCUCGCCUGGGUAGUACAUUCGCAAGAAUG